AGUCAUAUCAUGUUGAAAAACCGGUUCCCGUACGAUCACUGAAGUUAAGCAACAUCGAGCCUGGUCAGUACCUAGAUGGGUGACCGCUUGCGGUUACUAGGUCUUGUA